GGAGAGAGGGUUCCUCAGAGCUGCCCCUCCGUGUUCACAGAGAACUCCAAUCCAAGGGAACUGGGAACCAAGGGAAGUCUUGUUCAUCCUUCAAGGCACCAACAAAUGUGCUUGGAAAUGACAGAUCAGAAAACAUGCAAACGAGGCUCCUGAGGCCUGUAUGCAACUGUGAUUGGCAAGAACAUGAUGGAGAUUUUUGUGUCAAGGAGAGCAGUUCUUGAGCCAGGCCAUAUGCUCAGCUUCAUGGGGGCUUUGUGUAUUCCGUCUGGAGCACUGGGAAUAAUGAGACAUGGAACAGCAAAGGGCAGAGUCCCUGGAACGAAACCAUAUUUGCUGGAAGUGCUCAGGGGAUGCUCAGUGAACCCCAACUCUGAGACAUGAAGCUAUGCUGGAUGGUGUCUCCAUUAUCUGUCCAUGGGUGAGCACCUACACUGUUUAAAAGAAUGCUGGACCUUAUCCCCCAUUAUGAGAGAAACG